rnacentral:miRNA from 1 species
CCUGGGAAUCUAGUUAACAUGCAGACUCUGAUUCGGUAGAUCUAGGAGACUCUGCAUUUCUAACAAGUUCCCAGGUGGU